UGAUUAAAUUUUGAGUUUUUCGCCGCAGAAGUCAGGUGGAUAUGACUUGUAGUCUUUGGCUACUUUACUUAGGCUUUGUUUCAAGGUGCUAUCGGUCUUGUGUACGAGACACGCGACUUCCAGCGGGUUAAAAGUUAUAGAAAGCGUCGAGCAAAGACAGGGAACUAGGCGGUUUCGCAAGGAAACACACACUAGGCUGUCUUUGACAAGACGGUGUUUUCGCGGGUCUUAAAAACUUCCGUCUCUCCGAGGAAAGACUUCCGCUUUUAAAGUUUUGGGUGUGGUAAUGAUCCUUCCGCAGGUUCACCUACGGAAA
rnacentral:misc_RNA from 1 species